AGCUGUUUUCAACCAGUAAUAAGAACGGGACCCCGGAAACAGACGAAGAAAAGUGAAGCUAAGCGGAUGAUGCUAAAGAUGCUAAAGGACCCACGUUGGAGCUGGUAGGUGGUAGUGUAGUGGUCUGUAUGACUGGAAAAUGACUUCAAGGAGUUUUAUAAAAACGGGCGGAAGAUUAAAACUUCACAUCAACCGUGACAAUUUGAGGCCGAAGCUCAGAUCAGGAUGACACUGGGGAGGAGGAGGAGGCCUGAAGCCGAGCCAUCACGGAUGACCAAAUGUUCUUAUUAGACUAAAAGCAUGUAACUUUGCCCCGACUGACCUCCAAGUCCAUGGCACAAGGAGUCGAGAACGGGUGGCCGGUGACUGUUUCCACUGUGGGAAAACUCGUCCACUCAUGGUAACUAUUAUCUCUGUGUAACUCAUUGUGCUUUUUCUUCUUUUGCUCCAUUGCAUAAAGGAACAUCUUCCUGUGAUGGUUUUGUUUUUAAAGUGAUUGUACCUUAUUUUUGCUUAAUAAAUAAA